rnacentral:lncRNA from 1 species
CUCUUCACCUUCUCCCUCUAUCCAUCAAGAAACCACAACUCAUCUUCAACAACAAAACACACAUAUACAAUCCCACUACCCAAAACUCAACCACUUCCCCACCUCAUUGCCACCCCCAAAGACUUCAUAUACAAAAAGAAAAACCACCAUCAAAACAAAACCAAAAACUUCCCAAUGAGAGGAAUCAAAACCACCCAAACCCAUAAAUCUACAAACAAUUCACAACCUUCCCCUCUCAAUACAAUCCAAUACACAUUGAAACUUGAACCCCCUCUUAAAUUUCAAGAAUAAAAAUAAGAUCUUGAAAAUUUCCCAUCAGCAAGUAAGCUUAAAUUGUAUAAAAACAAAAACCCACAAAGCAAAAGGUGUAAAGAUAAACUCUAAGUUGCAAUUUCAUGUUAAUAGCUCAAGUUAAGAAAAAAAGACAGUUUUUUUAAUUGAAUCACCUAUAUUUGGGUGUUGUUGAACUUCUGCUCUGUUAAACUUAGUGGAAGAAGAGGAAAAAACACACAGAAAGAGCAAAUCAGCAAAUGCUUCCAGCUAAUCAACUGUCAAAACACUCAAUACAGCCUCUCUAAUUUUUUGUAUGAAUCAUUACAUACACCUGUAUAUAUAUAUAUAUAUAUCUGGCUGGCUGUAUAGACAGAGAAUCUUUGAUAAACUAAGG